UAGGUGAACCUGCGGAAGGAUCAUUAACGAACUCUCGAAGGACGCGCUCGCUGCUGGGCUUCUCAGAAGUCAACGUGCACACGCUCUUUCCUCUCGUUCAACCAAUCUACCCCUAUCUGUGCACCCCUCGUAGGCUGAGAUCUCUUAGCUUAUGUUCUUUCCACAAAACCAUCCUUUUAAAUAUAUCAGCGAAUGGCAGCCGUUCGAGCCUCGUCUCGACGCAGCAAAAUAUAACACAACUUUCAACAACGGAUCUCUUGGCUCUCGCAUCGAUGAAGAACGCAGCGAAAUGCGAUAAGUAAUGUGAAUUGCAGAAUUCAGUGAAUCAUCGAAUCUUUGAACGCACCUUGCGCCCCUUGGUACUCCGAGAGGCAUGCCUGUUUGAGUGUCAUUGAACCAUCAAACCCGAGUGGCUUUCGAGCUUUAUCGGAGUUUUGGAGCUUGCGGGUUGUGCGGAAGGAAGGGCUCUUUCGGGGGGCCCCCCCUUUCCGCUCCUCGCGGAAUACAUCAGCAGAUGUCCCACUUGCGGGUCCAGCCUUGGCGUGAUAACUGUCUUACGUCCUGGCCUGGGUCGCGUGUCCCUUGGCUUCUGCUUCGAACAGUCGCAUGUUCUCGCGACAGAUGGAUUUGACAAAUUUGACCUCAAAUCA
rnacentral:rRNA from 1 species